rnacentral:rRNA from 1 species
GACGAACGCUGGCGGCGUGCUUAACACAUGCAAGUCGAACGGAAAGGCCCUGCUUUUGUGGGGUGCUCGAGUGGCGAACGGGUGAGUAACACGUGAGUAACCUGUCCUUGACUUUGGGAUAACUUCAGGAAACUGGGGCUAAUACCGGAUAGGAGCUCCUGCUGCAUGGUGGGGGUUGGAAAGUUUCGGCGGUUGGGGAUGGACUCGCGGCUUAUCAGCUUGUUGGUGGGGUAGUGGCUUACCAAGGCUUUGACGGGUAGCCGGCCUGAGAGGGUGACCGGCCACAUUGGGACUGAGAUACGGCCCAGACUCCUACGGGAGGCAGCAGUGGGGAAUAUUGCACAAUGGGCGGAAGCCUGAUGCAGCAACGCCGCGUGCGGGAUGACGGCCUUCGGGUUGUAAACCGCUUUCGCCUGUGACGAAGCGUGAGUGACAGUAAUGGGUAAAGAAGCACCGGCUAACUACGUGCCAGCAGCCGCGGUGAUACGUAGGGUGCGAGCGUUGUCCGGAUUUAUUGGGCGUAAAGGGCUCGUAGGUGGUUGAUCGCGUCGGAAGUGUAAUCUUGGGGCUUAACCCUGAGCGUGCUUUCGAUACGGGUUGACUUGAGGAAGGUAGGGGAGAAUGGAAUUCCUGGUGGAGCGGUGGAAUGCGCAGAUAUCAGGAGGAACACCAGUGGCGAAGGCGGUUCUCUGGGCCUUUCCUGACGCUGAGGAGCGAAAGCGUGGGGAGCGAACAGGCUUAGAUACCCUGGUAGUCCACGCUGUAAACGGUGGGUACUAGGUGUGGGGUCCAUUCCACGGGUUCCGUGCCGUAGCUAACGCUUUAAGUACCCCGCCUGGGGAGUACGGCCGCAAGGCUAAAACUCAAAGGAAUUGACGGGGCCCCGCACAAGCGGCGGAGCAUGCGGAUUAAUUCGAUGCAACGCGUAGAACCUUACCUGGGUUUGACAUGGAUCGGGAGCGCUCAGAGAUGGGUGUGCCUCUUUUGGGGUCGGUUCACAGGUGGUGCAUGGCUGUCGUCAGCUCGUGUCGUGAGAUGUUGGGUUAAGUCCCGCAACGAGCGCAACCCUUGUUCACUGUUGCCAGCACGUUAUGGUGGGGACUCAGUGGAGACCGCCGGGGUCAACUCGGAGGAAGGUGGGGAUGACGUCAAGUCAUCAUGCCCCUUAUGUCCAGGGCUUCACGCAUGCUACAAUGGCUGGUACAGAGAGUGGCGAGCCUGUGAGGGUGAGCGAAUCUCGGAAAGCCGGUCUCAGUUCGGAUUGGGGUCUGCAACUCGACCUCAUGAAGUCGGAGUCGCUAGUAAUCGCAGAUCAGCAACGCUGCGGUGAAUACGUUCCCGGG